CUUGUGGUCAAAUGACGGUAAUGGCCGACUUGUCCUUUGGGGUGAAAAUUAGAUACUUUGAUAAUUAUUUGAAGAAAAUUUGUUUUUUAGACGGUGAGAAGCAGCAGCUGUCCAGUGCAACACAGUGCCGCCACUGAAGACCCAGGAGCACUCCCAGAUAACACAGCAGGGCAGGUUAUGGGAACUGACAAGAGGGUGUCCAUGUGUCUCUGAUACAGCAUUCCUGUUCCACUGGCCUUUCUCUCAAGACUGACAGACAAACCCAGAACUCAAGAACACCUCCACCAGACCAGGCCCACUGACGCUGGACAGUGAGGUUACAUUGUGGGACCAGGGAGGAAGUGUUGUGGAGGGGCUGUGAGAGCGUUGCUAGGCAACAGGGUGGGCAACUUGGCGUAAUGAGCGCGAGGCUCAGGAGCUGUCUGCUCAGUGUUCCAGGUCCUGACAAGAACAGACAGGCUGGCCUGGGACGGCCUGCAUGGAGCUGCCACCACGGCCACCUGCUCACAGCAAUCAUCACCAGCGCUCCAGCCAGCCACCGAUACAGCAUACAGACCCAAUUAAGAGCCCUGCAUGUCCCCCUCCAGCCAGCCAUCACUAACACUCCUGCAAGUCUGACAAGGCUGCCUUUUUUCCCCUUAGCAAAUCUCUAAUUAACAACGUUGGUAGUGGUGAGGCCGGGCUGUACAGAGCUGCUGAAAGGGGCUGGGACUCUGCUCGGGUAAUCAGCUUAAAUACAGGUUUAUUUCCUGCCCCCUGUGCCUUGCUACUUCCAGCAGAGAUUGCAUUCUUUUAUCUGUUUAUCUCCAAUUUCCUCUGACUUGUAACGUGUCUCCUAGACACACUGUCACCUCCACUUAAGGCCAGACUGGCUGCUCCUGCGAUCAGAUGGUUUCUGAGCAGUGAUCAGAGUUGGUUUUGGCAGGGCAUAGCUCUCAACAACAUCUCUCUCUGUUCCAUUACUGCCAUACCACCUCCGCUGCCUCCACUCCCACCUCACUGAAGGCCUCUGAUCUUAGCUGCAGAAACACUACUGAACGUCUAAAGGAUCAAAGAUUCCCAUACGGAAAUAUACCCUUUCAUCAGAUUAUAUGAAAUCAUUUAUAGUUUUGUAGAGUAUCUUAUUAAAGAUGGAGAUCAAUCACAAAGUUUUGUUCCUGUAACUGGCAAACACCAGAUUUUAAUUUGUUCAAUACAAAAAAAGAAGGGAGAAAAUUAUAUUGUGAAAUGACCUCAUUACUACAGACGGAUUAAGAGAGCUGUGUUUUCCAGCCGAGAGCAGAGGAGGUGGAGGAAUUUCCUUUCAGUAGGGAGGUGUUAUUGUUGGAGCCCUGUGCAGAGCCGCUGGAUGAAAUAUCCUCUUCCCCAGUUUGGGAAUUGACUCUUGAUACAGGACCGCCACUCUUGAUUGUAGGGAAUUAUGCCUAAUCAUCUGUCUUGAGCAAUUCAGAAAAAGAUAAUAUAGACUGAUUUACACUAAAAUGAACUAAAGUGAAGAAAUCAUCUGUACCAUUAUUGAAUACAUUUGCUAUUGGAUUUUUUUUUCAUCCAUACAUCAUAUGAUGUCUGUAAUGUGUCUUUUCUGGCUUGUAAGGAGAGAAAAGUUGGCUGUCAUAAGGAUUUCCAUUGGUCAGUUUUCCAGAGAUUUCUGCUCUUCGACUUAAAUGUUGCGAUUAAUACGAUUUGCUCAUAAUGAUACAGUAUUGCACUCUACAUGACUAAUUGACCGACCGUUUGACCAACAUUAAAAGAAUAGGCUGACUGUAUUUUCUGUAUUUUCCCAGAAACAUGAUAAAUGGUGUUCACUGUGGAGGGCAAAAUGUGAACAGUGUUUUUUUUUUAUAGUGACAAGCUUAAAAGCUUAUAGACAAUCUUCUCAAUAAAUAUGUUACAUGAUAUGAUAGGCUUAUUUUGUUGCAUUGUUGCUUUACCAUGGGUUGACUUACCCCAAAGCUAGUUCAGCUAAUGAAUGUAAAUGUAAAUGUGAAUUUAUUUUUCUUCCUAUGUGUGUUAGCACUGUGAACUGGUGACUUGUCACCCAAUGCAUGCUGGGAUAUGCUUCAACCCCCUUGAUCCUGACCAGGUUAAGCUGUAUAGGAAGUGGAUGGAUGGAUAGUUCAGAGGCUAAGCAGCAGAGGGUGCUGUUCAUCAGAAGGCCCGAACCCUUUGUAGCAUGUUAGUAAAGGAUGACUGCAAUAGAUACAAAUAGCAAGCAUGUGUUGAUAUUUUAAAACAUUUUUAUUUCUUUUGAAUGUUUUUUUGUUUUCAAGACUUUUCAACUCCAAAAUAAAUUAUGGGUACCGUUGUAUGGUACUUUAUAACUACCGCAUCCAAUAUUUUUUCACCAAUAUUGCUUUUCACUGUAUAUGUAAUUCAACAAUCAAGAUACGCCUGUCUUCGUGUUGGUGUGUCAGACAUUUGGUUUAAGGUGUUCACUGUGAUCAGUGAUGUAUUAAUUUGAACUGGGUAAACCCCUGACAGCUUAGGUGUUAGCUGACAAUCUUCAGGGGGGGCAAAUCAGAUAAACCACUUGAGCAGCACCUGGAAACACCUCUCAGAUGAGACCAUGCAAACACACUAUUUCCUGUUCCACUGAAACACGUAACCAGACAGCCUGUGUACGCUCCAGAGUUCAUCUUUCCGUCAUGUCUUUUUCUUCAUUUUCUUCACUGAUGUCAAUUUCCAUUUCUAAAUGUUGAUUUAUGAAUAAAACACUUAUAUAUUUAUUUUUUGCAUUUUUUUCUGCUAUGCUGUUGUAAGUUGACAAUUGUAUCUACUGACUGGCUGCUUAUUCGUGAUGUUAUUGUAAAUUAUUCAAGACACUUGUUACUUUCAGUAAUAGUUGUGGAAUUGAGUAGGCUGAAAGCAUA